UCCAGGAGGUAGCAGGGACACUUGGUAAGUGGGGCCAAAUUGGGAGGCAUCUCAGGAGGUGGCCAUGGGCAGAGGGACAGCCUUCCAGUUCUUUGCCUCUCCCCUUUGAAGCCCGGCGCCUGGGAACAGACCUGUGGUAGCUGCACCUGCCUGGGUAGGAAACUGUGGGCUCUUUUCUCGUAGGGGGACAAGAGUCAUUUGCAGGACCUUCUGAGCAGGUGGGGGACAGCGAAGGACAAGAGGAGGCUGUGCCUGUGCGGCUGUGUCCCGGCACAGGUGCCGCUUCAUGCCCACGCCACCACAUCCUCACUGGGUGGCUUCGGGCAAGUUACCUGAACUCUGCGCCUCCAUCUCGUCUUCUGUAAAAUGGGUGGCACAUCCGAGCCCACCUCCUAGGGAGGGUGUUGUGAGGACAGGUGGGGGCAUGUCCGCACAGCCCCUAGAAUAGUGCCCAGGGCACCAGAGUGCUCUGUAGGGAAAUAGUAGCGGCUGGCACUGAGCCCCCAACAUAAGCCAGCACCGUGGGCCAGAGCCACGACUCCUGCUUCUGGGCACUUCACAAGCUAUGGCCAGGGGCCACCACCUUUGGCCACUCCUUUCCCACAAAAUUCCUACCAGGGCCCUGCCAGGUCAACAAGUCACAGGGCUUCCCCAUCACAGAAGCCCAGCUUUGUGACACCUCUUGGUCCCAAGCACGUUCCUAUCCCCCAUUCAUGUGUUUUGUUAGGACCCUUUAGGGUUGCACAUGGCAGAAACUUAAUCCACACCAACUUCAGCGAAGAAGGAAUGUACUGGCUCCAGUCAGUGAAAAGUCCAGGAGGAGCCAUGCCUUCAGGCACGGCUGCAUCCAGGCACUCAACAGGUGUAUCCAGGCACUCAACAGGUGCAGCCAACACCUUGCCCCGCAGGCUGUCAGCUCCUGCCUUCUGCUGCGUCCACGUCACUGUAGGUGGAUUUCUCCGCACAUGGGCGUCCGAUGGGUCUGAUGGAAAGGUGGCAGGCGAAAUGCACCUGGCCUCAGCGUCAGGGGCUGUGAAUGCAGUAGCAGUUGUAGCUGUGUGGUCAGAGUGGACUAGGAUGGUCCUUCCACCAAGAAGGCUGGGCCUUCCUGCUCCUCGUUGUCCAGCUGCAGAAACUGAUCUCAUCCCUCAGGGCUUGGCACAACUGCCCCUUCCUCCUCACAUUCCCAAAUAUACCUACCCCUCCCCAACUCAAUCCUCCUCACCAGACUGUGGCUCCCGGAUGACAGGGCAGAGUUGGACUCACCUGUGUCUGCCAGGCCAGCUCACCAUGGGGGCAGGUCCCAAGAGGCCUCUGGAUUUGGACCAACUUCCAGUGUGACCUUGAACAAGCCCUUCGCCUCCCUCAGCCUCCGUUGCAUGAGGGGUUGUGCUGGCACAUCUCACAGCAGGUAGCGCUACCUGGUGAGUUGAGAGCUUUGUCCAUCAUCUUUGUCACUGUAAUGCUGGGUAACAAAUAAACACGAAACAAUGAA